rnacentral:lncRNA from 1 species
AUGGCAAGGUGGCAAACUUACUUUGGAAGAUGCUUGGAAAGCUUUUGUAAGAGAUUUAGAGAGAAGACUUUCUAGAGAGAGAAAGUAGAGAGAGAAAGCUGUAAAUCCGUGAUUCGUGUAUCGAUCUUGUCAAGUUAUCAAUGGAAUCACGUUAAAUGUACGCUAUCGUGUGUUCGGUCACGUUCGUUCACGGAUUCCGCACGUGAAACGAACGUUACGCAAUCGAACGGUCGACAAACCGAUCCUACAAGUGGUAUCAGAGCUAGGAGCUCGAUUGCUUGAUCAAACACGUUGUUUUCGUACUGAUUUCAGCCGUUUCAAAGCAGAUUCAGAUCCAAUUUCGUCGAUUUUUCUUAUUCUACUCGUUCUUUUCUGAAAAACGUUAAAUUGAACAGGUAAAUACGGUCCGUUUCGUCUGAUUUUUGGAUAUGUUGUGCGUUUAGACCCGAUCUACAACCCUACCAAUUUUCAGCUCGAAAUUCCGAGCCGUUUAGGAGUUAUUGCGAGUUUUCUGUUCGAAUUUGCGUCACAUUUCAGGUCUGGUUCGCUUUUACGAACAUCGUGGAUCGCUCGAAGGUAUAGUCUGAAUCGCUUUUGUGUCAUAACUUUCUGGUUCGCUCCAAGAAAUAUCUGGAUCGCUCAAAGAUACAAGUCUGGUCUGCUCGUAAACAACAUUGUGAACCGCUUAUUGUGACAGUUUGGGAACCGCUCUUAAUGUCAGUCUGGUCCGCUCAAAAGGAAUGAGGAUCGCUUUUUAGUCAUCACUUUCAUGUGAUGUUCUGAAGUUGCAGGUUAUUGUCGGCUGCGUAACAAGGAUAUUUCAAAACCCAAUCAGAUUGUUGUGCCGCCCAACCCACUUACACUUAUUGGCCCUAUCAAAAGUCAUUAAAUCACGUGUUAAAGCCUACCGCCCAAUCCCAGCCCGUGUUCCGCCGCCCAUUUACUUAAUUGAUUUUCAUCACACCGCCCAUUUAAGUUGCGGCCCAAUAAAGAUUUAGGGUGUUGUUGGCCACUAAAAAUCAAAGGGUUGGAACUUGUUGUUGGCAAGCUGGUUGUUUUUGUUUGUAUGUGAAGUCACAAAAACAUUAAGGACAAAUCAAAGUGUUUUAUAUUUGAAACUUGUCAGUCAUUUGUUUUAAAAGCUCAUAUUAAAAUCAAAUGAUGUUAUAAACGAUUUUGAUUUUCAUAGUAGGGUUUUAAAACUGAAUUGGACAGUUCAUAUUUUUUUAAAAAAAUGGGUUGAUCUCAAGAAUUGAAAUUGUGAAUUAAAUCAUUGGAACGUGUUGUGAAUUUUCGACAACGAAUCUUAGAUUGGUUUCAUCAACAUACUGUUACAUAGUCAGUUUCUGUUUAAACUGAUCAUUUGUUUGUGUGUUUGCAGGAGAUUCGGAGUGUUUUUACAAGGUGCAAAUAUCAAGGAGUUAAAAUUUGUGAAUUUUGAAGGAAAAACAAAUUUUUGAAUCAAGUCACUUAACAAAGAAAGUGAGAUCAAAAUGUUUGAUGAAGAAGAAAAUUAUUAUUUUGAGAGAUUUAAUGAUUGGAAUCGAGGAUUUAUAGAUGAGAGUUAUAAAAAUGUGAAAAAGGAUGGAUGGGUCAAAAGGUUUAAAUAUUUUGUAUGUUUGAAAGAUGAAACUUUGGAAGAUCUAGAAAACCGAUAUAGCGUCUUACUUAAUUACUUGAAAAAUCAUGAGAUAGUUCUGUCAGAUGCUGAAAAGAUAGAAAAGUUUGCAGAUGCAUUACCUGUUGAAUGGAGUGAAUGUUUGGAAAAUUUAAGGAAGGAUUCAAAUUUUUCAAAAUUACGCCUAAACAAAUUCAUCAGCAAACUUAAAACCCAUGAAUUU